rnacentral:rRNA from 1 species
GUGGGGAAUUUUGGACAAUGGGCGCAAGCCUGAUCCAGCAAUGCCGCGUGCAGGAAGAAGGCCUUCGGGUUGUAAACUGCUUUUGUACGGAACGAAACGGUCCGGGUUAAUACCCUGGGCUAAUGACGGUACCGUAAGAAUAAGCACCGGCUAACUACGUGCCAGCAGCCGCGGUAAUACGUAGGGUGCAAGCGUUAAUCGGAAUUACUGGGCGUAAAGCGUGCGCAGGCGGUGCUGUAAGACAGGCGUGAAAUCCCCGGGCUUAACCUGGGAAUUGCGCUUGUGACUGCAGUGCUGGAGUGCGGCAGAGGGGGAUGGAAUUCCGCGUGUAGCAGUGAAAUGCGUAGAUAUGCGGAGGAACACCGAUGGCGAAGGCAAUCCCCUGGGCCUGCACUGACGCUCAUGCACGAAAGCGUGGGGAGCAAACAGGAUUAGAAACCCUAGUAGUCC